AAACAAAGCAUUGCGAUGGUCC
rnacentral:snRNA from 1 species